AACUUUCAACAACGGAUCUCUUGGUUCUGGCAUCGAUGAAGAACGCAGCGAAAUGCGAUACGUAGUGUGAAUUGCAGAAUUCAGUGAAU
rnacentral:rRNA from 1 species